rnacentral:rRNA from 1 species
GACGAACGCUGGCGGCGUGCUUAACACAUGCAAGUCGAACGAAGUGGCGAACGGGUGAGUAAUACGAGAGUAACCUGCCCUCCUUUUUGGGAUAAGCCUUGGAAACGGGGUCUAAUACCGAAUAAAGGGGGAUGGUCUCGCUGCCUAUUAGCUGGGUGGAGGGGUGAUGGCCUACCAGGGCGGUGGCGGGUAGGCGGCCUGGAGGGGUGACCGGCGACAUUGGGACUGGGAUACGCCCCAGACGCCGACGGGAGGCGGCAGUGGGGGACAUUGCACGAUAGGCGAAAGCCUGAUGCAGGGAUGCCGCGUGGGGGAUGAAGGCUUUCGAGUUGUAAACCUCUUUCGAUAACGAACGGGUAGGUGGAGAAGAAGCGCCGGCUAACUACGUGCCAGCAGCCGCGGUAAUUC